rnacentral:rRNA from 1 species
AUUGAACGCUGGCGGCAGGCUUAACACAUGCAAGUCGAGCGGAGAGAGGUAGCUUGCUACUGAUCUUAGCGGCGGACGGGUGAGUAAUGCUUAGGAAUCUGCCUAUUAGUGGGGGACAACAUUUCGAAAGGAAUGCUAAUACCGCAUACGUCUUACGGGAGAAAGCAGGGGAUCUUCGGACCUUGCGCUAAUAGAUGAGCCUAAGUCGGAUUAGCUAGUUGGUGGGGUAAAGGCCUACCAAGGCGACGAUCUGUAGCGGGUCUGAGAGGAUGAUCCGACACACUGGGACUGAGACACGGCCCAGACUCCUACGGGAGGCAGCAGUGGGGAAUAUUGGACAAUGGGCGGAAGCCUGAUCCAGCCAUGCCGCGUGUGUGAAGAAGGCCUUAUGGCUGUAAAGCACUUUAAGCGAGGAGGAGGCUACUUUAGUUAAUACCUAGAGAUAGUGGACGUUACUCGCAGAAUAAGCACCGGCUAACUACGUGCCAGCCGCCGCGGUAA